rnacentral:lncRNA from 1 species
AAGAAGAGAUCAUGGUUUUCAAAGCUGGGGUACAUUCUUGAGACAACCAUAAGAGAUUGAUCAUAUGGCUUCACAGGUUCCAGGUAAAUAUGCAAGUUUCUGUGUUGAAAGUGAUCUGAAAAUUACCUCUGCAAUCUGAAUUUUGUGUUGAGGAUUAUUACACCCAACUUCAGUAUGAGAAUCUUCCACCAGUUUGCUAUAAAUGUUGGUCAAUUGGGCAUGUUAGAGAUGGUGUGUUGAGAAUGAUGAUUCCGAGAUGCCUGUGACUCCUAUGGAUAAUGUUGUUGAUAUUCUGA